rnacentral:lncRNA from 10 species
UGAAAUGAUCCUUUCCAGGUAACAGCCGAGCAUAGGGGACUGCGGGACAUCUCCGCCUCUUCCUUGGCUCUGGGCCUUCGAUGUAAGGCGUUAGAGGACAAUCUUUGUUGGCUGGAUUUCUGUUCUUCCCCUAGAGAUAUCUGGUUCUUUGGAGGCCACUUGGGCAAUUGGGUUAACAAUCACUUACCUGAUACCUGCUCCCAAAACGAAUCCUAUUGAUGAAGGAUCUUCUUUCUGAGCAGUAAACCUGUGUUUAAUUAACCUUAUGCAAAUGAGCUUAAUUGCUUAUCAGUGGCUGUUGUCCAGAAGCACCUAGGGAUUCCUUCCCUCAGACAUUUUCAGCACCUAGAUGAACCGCAAAGUUGGAAGCCUUUCAUCUACACAUGUGUUGUGUGCCUGUGGAGCCCUGGGCCCUGUGUUGAAGAUUGCAAGGAAAAGCAAGGUGUGACCCCUGCUGUGGACUUACUUUCAGUCUUAGGGCAACAGACACUUACAACCAAGAAUAACAAAGGGAGCCGUCGGAACAUCCUGGGACUCCAAGGCUCCGACCCCCAGCGCAAAGGACUCUAGGGACUGGCUUCCUGGCUGUACCGCGCAGCGGGACUCCUCGUCUGCACAGCUUCGGGGAGGCCCAGAGCACGCCCCUACUAGCCGGCUCCGUCCAAGGCCCACCAAGACAACCCGCCACGAAACUUCCCGGCCCCCUCAGCCCAGGGCUCCCGGUCCCGAGCUGCUGGCCGGUGGCGCGGGGCCUGCCGCCCGCCUUCUACGAGCCGCAUGGACGGAGGCCUGCGUGUUAUUUCAUAGAGGCCGAAACGGAGACCCAGGAAAGAUAAAAGAAGGGCUCAACCCGGGACCCCCACUAGCCAGCCGAGGGCGAGAAAUGAAAGCCAAGGCUGAAUGAUUCCCUGUGCCGUGAGCUCUCUCCCACUCCAUCCACACUCUCCUCCCUGCAAAGAGUGUUCUGCAAUUUGCAGCGUCGUCUGUAGCCCAAGCAGGAGGUGCGCUGUGGAAACUGAGGCCGCUGGGAGGCCUUGCCAACCGUGACCCGGACGUCGGACGCCCCAGCCGAGGCCCGGCGAGUCCUUAGCCCCUCUCGAACUAAAAUGGACCGAACAGAAAAUGCGGACGGGGCUCCCUCCUUUCGGGUAGCGGCGGGGCAGACGGGAGGCCGUCUGUGACCGAGCUCUCCAAGUCCCGCCUUCCUUUCCAAGCCUGCCCGGCGGAGACCACCUUACUCCCUGAGACCUCCGCCCUGCCGCAGCGCUCCCAGGCCAGGCCAGGCCGGCGGUGCCCGCGCCAUCUAAAGGGACAAUUCUGGUUGAACCUGGGAUUCCCGGCAGGGCGCCCUGUCUGUGAGCGCCCCGGAGGUAACUUCCCCGGUGUGGCAGGCGUGGAAAUGGGCAUGGAUGAACCCUCGGCGCCUUCGAGCUCUUGAGGAAAGAGCCCGGGACCGCUGCGCUAAGGACCGUGACGUAAUGCCCCUCCUCCAUUCCGGGCCCAAGGGAGGGUCCUAAACGCGGAGAGGGAGUGCCCUGUGGGGGAAAACUGAGUGUGUCUGGAGGGCACAGUGGAGAGGUUGAGUGCUCGCUGCUGCCCACUUGAGCAGGCCCGAUUCUGACCCUGGGAGCCCCAGAACCCGCGGGGCGGCUCCCACCCCCACCUGUUGCACGGUGUUCCGCCGCCCCGCUCCGCCGGUGCACUCCCACCUCCGUAGCCCCAGAAGUGACAUCUUUUAUUAUUAUUAUUAUUAUUAUUAAAAACGAAAGUCACGGGUACAGGGUGGUCUCCCCAAACAGGCUCCAGGUGGUUGCCAUCUCGUGAGUCAGUUGUCGCCCUUUUAAAGUGCUGUUACAUCAAGAGGUUACAACAAAAAAUAGCCAAAGCAAAAUCCAAAGGGGAAUGCAAAACGGGACUGGAAGUGGGUCCAGGAGAAGGAAGCAAAAAUAACUUACAGCAUAAAUAAAUUAAAGUGAACCUAAUACU